rnacentral:misc_RNA from 1 species
GAUGGUCAUCGCGCCCUGAUGUUUCCUCCCGAGACGAUCUCUUGCCCGGCGCUUGCGUCGGGCUUUUUUUUCGCCGGG